GCGCCUGUAGCUCAGCUGGAUAGAGCAACGGACUUCUAAUCCGUAGGCCGGGGGUUCGAGUCCCUCCAGGCGUGCCA
rnacentral:tRNA from 1 species